AGCAUAGAAUAUAGAACAAAGGUAAACAAGCUUUAGAAUUAUAUACAGGGUGUUUCAAAAAAAUGUACACCCUUUCAAAUUAACCGUAACCUAUUGUAGCAAUAUGACAGCCGUAUAAUUUCUCGAAUUAAUGAAUGCGUGAAAACACAAGGUCUUCUGCACAUGGGGUACUUUUUUGCCAAUCCUGCAAAGGUAACACCUCGUAACGGCGACAUUUUAUAAUUUUAUGGGUGUAUGAUGGUAAAUUUACUCUGCAAAUAGUUAGUUUGUUCCAUUGGUUUGUUCUGAAAUAUUGCUUUUCACAUUGUUAUAAUCGUUUACGAAAAAUUACAGUACACCAAAAAUGGCGGCGUGAGAAAGGCUAAUUGAAUUGAAUUUUUAAUUACCAGUCGCAUAAAAUCCUGUGCCUGUACUUUUUUGGGGACACCCUGUAUAUAAUUUGAAUUUGAAAGGGUGUACAUUUUUUUGAUACAGAGUUAUUCACUUGUGAAGAUAAUUCUAAAGUUUAUAGUUGCCUUUGUUCUACUCUAUUCUAUGCUUCUGUAUACUAGAACAAUGAUAAUUAAGCAUGCGAGUUUUUAAAGUUGUAAAUUGGGUUGAAACAAAUGUUAGCCAAAUGUGUACAUAGCCAGUUUUAUAUACGACAUGCAUGGAGACAAAUAUUUCUGCCAAUGCUAAAAAGUCUGAGGGAGAGAGUCCACCAUGAUUGCAUAAUAUCUCCCCCACCGUCUGAGACACUGAUCUGAAACCUAGCACUGGAUAGCGCACCCGCUAUGCAUAAAUGAAGAGAGACAUUCACCCCCCUGGAACAUUACAGUUCAAUAUGUUUUCAGGAAGGUCAGAUUUGGUUUCAAGAAGAUAUAGCCAAAACAAAAUAUGUGGGUUUCCGGUUUUCCGACCCUACCUAGCUUUUGGACGUCAAAAUCCCGACCCUAAACUUUUUUAUUGGAUCAUGCUUGUAAGUGUUUCCACUUAGAGGAAAAAGUUUGUGGAAAAUUGAAAUUUGAGGCAAUAUUAGGGAAAUUUAUCUUUUGAUGUGGAAGCACUGACUAAACAAAAUGGCGUCCGCUUGUUCGGAAAAUUAAAAAAAAAGUUUAAAAAAAAAGG